CCUACGGGAGGCUGCAGUGGGGAAUAUUGGGCAAUGGGCGCAAGCCUGAUCCAGCAACGCCGCGUGAAGGAAGAAGGCUCUCGGGUUGUAAACUUCUUUUCUUAGGGACGAAGAAAGUGACGGUACCUCAGGAAUAAGCAACGGCUAACUACGUGCCAGCAGCCGCGGUAAUACGUAGGGGGCAAGCGUUAUCCGGAUUUACUGGGUGUAAAGGGGGCGUAGACGGCAGUGCAAGUCUGGGGUGAAAGGCGGGGGCUCAACCCCCGGACUGCUCUGGAUACUGUGCGGCUGGAGUGCAGGAGAGGUAAGUGGAAUUCCUAGUGUAGCGGUGAAAUGCGUAGAUAUUAGGAGGAACACCAGUGGCGAAGGCGGCUUACUGGACUGUAACUGACGUUGAGGCUCGAAAGCGUGGGGAACAAACAGGAUUAGAUACCCUUGUAGUC
rnacentral:rRNA from 1 species